AGCGUACACGGUGGAUGCCCUGGCAGUCAGAGGCGAUGAAGGACGUGCUAAUCUGCGAUAAGCGUCGGUAAGGUGAUAUGAACCGUUAUAACCGGCGAUUUCCGAAUGGGGAAACCCAGUGUGUUUCGACACACUAUCAUUAACUGAAUCCAUAGGUUAAUGAGGCGAACCGGGGGAACUGAAACAUCUAAGUACCCCGAGGAAAAGAAAUCAACCGAGAUUCCCCCAGUAGCGGCGAGCGAACGGGGAGCAGCCCAGAGCCUGAAUCAGUGUGUGUGUUAGUGGAAGCGUCUGGAAAGGCGCGCGAUACAGGGUGACAGCCCCGUACACAAAAAUGCACAUGCUGUGAGCUCGAUGAGUAGGGCGGGACACGUGGUAUCCUGUCUGAAUAUGGGGGGACCAUCCUCCAAGGCUAAAUACUCCUGACUGACCGAUAGUGAACCAGUACCGUGAGGGAAAGGCGAAAAGAACCCCGGCGAGGGGAGUGAAAAAGAACCUGAAACCGUGUACGUACAAGCAGUGGGAGCACGCUUAGGCGUGUGACUGCGUACCUUUUGUAUAAUGGGUCAGCGACUUAUAUUCUGUAGCAAGGUUAACCGAAUAGGGGAGCCGAAGGGAAACCGAGUCUUAACUGGGCGUUAAGUUGCAGGGUAUAGACCCGAAACCCGGUGAUCUAGCCAUGGGCAGGUUGAAGGUUGGGUAACACUAACUGGAGGACCGAACCGACUAAUGUUGAAAAAUUAGCGGAUGACUUGUGGCUGGGGGUGAAAGGCCAAUCAAACCGGGAGAUAGCUGGUUCUCCCCGAAAGCUAUUUAGGUAGCGCCUCGUGAAUUCAUCUCCGGGGGUAGAGCACUGUUUCGGCAAGGGGGUCAUCCCGACUUACCAACCCGAUGCAAACUGCGAAUACCGGAGAAUGUUAUCACGGGAGACACACGGCGGGUGCUAACGUCCGUCGUGAAGAGGGAAACAACCCAGACCGCCAGCUAAGGUCCCAAAGUCAUGGUUAAGUGGGAAACGAUGUGGGAAGGCCCAGACAGCCAGGAUGUUGGCUUAGAAGCAGCCAUCAUUUAAAGAAAGCGUAAUAGCUCACUGGUCGAGUCGGCCUGCGCGGAAGAUGUAACGGGGCUAAACCAUGCACCGAAGCUGCGGCAGCGACGCUUAUGCGUUGUUGGGUAGGGGAGCGUUCUGUAAGCCUGUGAAGGUGUGCUGUGAGGCAUGCUGGAGGUAUCAGAAGUGCGAAUGCUGACAUAAGUAACGAUAAAGCGGGUGAAAAGCCCGCUCGCCGGAAGACCAAGGGUUCCUGUCCAACGUUAAUCGGGGCAGGGUGAGUCGACCCCUAAGGCGAGGCCGAAAGGCGUAGUCGAUGGGAAACAGGUUAAUAUUCCUGUACUUGGUGUUACUGCGAAGGGGGGACGGAGAAGGCUAUGUUGGCCGGGCGACGGUUGUCCCGGUUUAAGCGUGUAGGCUGGUUUUCCAGGCAAAUCCGGAAAAUCAAGGCUGAGGCGUGAUGACGAGGCACUACGGUGCUGAAGCAACAAAUGCCCUGCUUCCAGGAAAAGCCUCUAAGCAUCAGGUAACAUCAAAUCGUACCCCAAACCGACACAGGUGGUCAGGUAGAGAAUACCAAGGCGCUUGAGAGAACUCGGGUGAAGGAACUAGGCAAAAUGGUGCCGUAACUUCGGGAGAAGGCACGCUGAUAUGUAGGUGAAGCGACUUGCUCGUGGAGCUGAAAUCAGUCGAAGAUACCAGCUGGCUGCAACUGUUUAUUAAAAACACAGCACUGUGCAAACACGAAAGUGGACGUAUACGGUGUGACGCCUGCCCGGUGCCGGAAGGUUAAUUGAUGGGGUCAGCGCAAGCGAAGCUCUUGAUCGAAGCCCCGGUAAACGGCGGCCGUAACUAUAACGGUCCUAAGGUAGCGAAAUUCCUUGUCGGGUAAGUUCCGACCUGCACGAAUGGCGUAAUGAUGGCCAGGCUGUCUCCACCCGAGACUCAGUGAAAUUGAACUCGCUGUGAAGAUGCAGUGUACCCGCGGCAAGACGGAAAGACCCCGUGAACCUUUACUAUAGCUUGACACUGAACAUUGAGCCUUGAUGUGUAGGAUAGGUGGGAGGCUUUGAAGUGUGGACGCCAGUCUGCAUGGAGCCGACCUUGAAAUACCACCCUUUAAUGUUUGAUGUUCUAACGUUGACCCGUAAUCCGGGUUGCGGACAGUGUCUGGUGGGUAGUUUGACUGGGGCGGUCUCCUCCUAAAGAGUAACGGAGGAGCACGAAGGUUGGCUAAUCCUGGUCGGACAUCAGGAGGUUAGUGCAAUGGCAUAAGCCAGCUUGACUGCGAGCGUGACGGCGCGAGCAGGUGCGAAAGCAGGUCAUAGUGAUCCGGUGGUUCUGAAUGGAAGGGCCAUCGCUCAACGGAUAAAAGGUACUCCGGGGAUAACAGGCUGAUACCGCCCAAGAGUUCAUAUCGACGGCGGUGUUUGGCACCUCGAUGUCGGCUCAUCACAUCCUGGGGCUGAAGUAGGUCCCAAGGGUAUGGCUGUUCGCCAUUUAAAGUGGUACGCGAGCUGGGUUUAGAACGUCGUGAGACAGUUCGGUCCCUAUCUGCCGUGGGCGCUGGAGAAUUGAGGGGGGCUGCUCCUAGUACGAGAGGACCGGAGUGGACGCAUCACUGGUGUUCGGGUUGUCAUGCCAAUGGCACUGCCCGGUAGCUAAAUGCGGAAGAGAUAAGUGCUGAAAGCAUCUAAGCACGAAACUUGCCCCGAGAUGAGUUCUCCCUGACUCCUUGA
rnacentral:rRNA from 1 species